AUGUUCAGCCAAGAAGGCCUCCGGGCUGCGCAGAUCCCUGCCCCCAGCACGGCCCGAGCCGCCGGCCCCACCCGUGCCUUCGGUUUCGAUUCCCGUGCGGCGCGGCCGAGAGGCGGUGACGGGUGCUCCCGCCCCGCUCCCCCACAGUCCCGCUGGCGGCCCCGUCCCGGGCGGAGGGGCAGCAUGUGCGAUCCGGCCGUCUGCAGUUUCCUCACCCAGACCCUGUGCGCCCAUGGCGGGCGGCUGGGGCUGCGGGAGCUGCAGGAAAAUAUCGGGCUGUCGGCGCUGCAGCUGGAGGACACGCUGUCGGCGGCGGGCCCCCGGGGGGGGGGGGGGGGGGGGGGGGGGGGGGGGGGGGGGGGGGGGGGGGGGGGGGGGGGGGGGGGGGGGGGGGGGGGGGGGGGGGGGGGGGCGGGCCCCCGACGGUUCCUGAAGGUGGGGAGCGGCCCGGUGGUCCUGGCCGUGACGGACGUGCGGGUCUGUGUCCGCAAAGCCUGCGACGGCUGCGAGCGGCUGCACCUCUGCAAGCUGCACCUCAUGGGCAGGUGCCACCAGGGGCCCAGCUCUUGUAAGUACUCGCAUGACAUCAUGAAUGCAGAGAACAAAAAAGUUCUAAAAAAACAUGAUUUGUCUGGCCUCAGUGAGAAUGAACUGCAAGUCCUGCUUCUCCAAAAUGAUCCAUUCUUCCUCCCUGAUACCUGCCAGUUUUACAACACAAAAGGUGGUUGCUGUAGGCAGCAAAGCAACUGCAACAAGCUUCAUGUUUGUCGACACUUUCUCAAGGGGAAAUGUAAAUUUCCUCAAUGCAUAAUGAACCAUAACCUCUUGGAUGACCAUGCAAUGAGAGUGUUGGAAACUGGAGGCAUUGAUGGGAAGAUAGCUUCAAACUUCCAGGCUAUAUAUGAUUUCAAGCAUGUCGAAUUCAACAAGGAACAGAAGAAGGGGUAUGUACACAACUACAGACGAAUAAAUGAUUAUUGGAAAAUACCAGCAAAUCAAAGGAAUAAAGAAGUGAAGACAACUACAGUGCAGUGUAUGCUGGAUGUGCCGCCUUCAAAAGGUCCCAGUAGCACCGUGCCUGCUCAGAGCCAAGACCAGUUGCCAACAGGAGCGGGAGAUAAAGGUAAAGGUCCCAGUAGCACCGUGCCUGCUCAGAGCCAAGACCAGUUGCCAACAGGAGCGGGAGAUAAAGGUAAAGGUCCCAGUAGCACCGUGCCUGCUCAGAGCCAAGACCAGUUGCCAACAGGAGCGGGAGAUAAAGGUCCCAGUAGCACCGUGCCUGCUCAGAGCCAAGACCAGUUGCCAACAGGAGCGGGAGAUAAAGGUCCCAGUAGCACCGUGCCUGCUCAGAGCCAAGACCAGUUGCCAACAGGAGCGGGAGAUAAAGGUAAAGGUCCCAGUAGCACCGUACCUGCUCAGAGCCAAGACCAGUUGCCAACAGGAGUGGGAGAUAAAGGUAAAGGUAUGGAUUGUUUCUUACCCUCCAGUCUUGAGAUGAGCUUAUCUAAAGAGAGUUGAUGUCACACAGGUGUUGUGAUGUCUCGGUUUGAAAGACAGCUGUCUACUAGGGAAGGCAGGACCCUCCCUUGGAUUGGAAACUAAUUACGAUUUUGAAAUCAAG
rnacentral:lncRNA from 12 species